AUGUGCACAGCUUGCUGGCCUGAAAGACACGGUAAAAAAAUACAGGCCUGUGGACAGAAAAGAGAUAAGCAUUAUCCACUUUGAAACGCAUAGGUAGUUCAGGCUCAAUUUGAAGACUCUCACCUGCAGACAAAAGAAGACAAUUAAAACGCAUAUGCAUUAUUAUGCAUUUGUUUCA